GAUGAACGCUAGCGGCAGGCCUAAUACAUGCAAGUCGAACGGUGUCUUCGGACAUAGUGGCGCACGGGUGCGUAACACGUAUGCAACCUACCUUACAUUGGGGGAUAGCCUUUCGAAAGGGAGAUUAAUACCGCAUAAGACAGUAGCUGGGCAUCCAGCAGCUGUUAAAGAUUUAUCGAUGUAAGAUGGGCAUGCGUCCAAUUAGUUAGUUGGCGAGGUAACGGCUCACCAAGACUUUGAUUGGUAGGGGAACUGAGAGGUCAAUCCCCCACACUGGCACUGAGAUACGGGCCAGACUCCUACGGGAGGCAGCAGUAGGGAAUAUUGGGCAAUGGACGCAAGUCUGACCCAGCCAUGCCGCGUGCAGGAUGAAGGCGUUAUGCGUUGUAAACCGCUUUUAUACAGGAAGAAACGACUCUUGCGAGAGGCAUUGACGGUACUGUAUGAAUAAGCACCGGCUAACUCCGUGCCAGCAGCCGCAGUAACAC
rnacentral:rRNA from 1 species